GACGAACGCUGGCGGCGUGCUUAACACAUGCAAGUCGAACGGAAAGGCCCUGCUUUUGUGGGGUGCCCGAGUGGCGAACGGGUGAGUAACACGUGAGUAACCUGCCCUUGACUUUGGGAUAACUUCAGGAAACUGGGGCUAAUACCGGAUAGGAGCUCCUGCUGCAUGGUGGGGGUUGGAAAGUUUCGGCGGUUGGGGAUGGACUCGCGGCUUAUCAGCUUGUUGGUGGGGUAGUGGCUUACCAAGGCUUUGACGGGUAGCCGGCCUGAGAGGGUGACCGGCCACAUUGGGACUGAGAUACGGCCCAGACUCCUACGGGAGGCAGCAGUGGGGAAUAUUGCACAAUGGGCGGAAGCCUGAUGCAGCAACGCCGCGUGCGGGAUGACGGCCUUCGGGUUGUAAACCGCUUUCGCCUGUGACGAAGCGUGAGUGACGGUAACGGGUAAAGAAGCACCGGCUAACUACGUG
rnacentral:rRNA from 1 species